rnacentral:rRNA from 1 species
UGGGGAAUCUUCCGCAAUGGGCGAAAGCCUGACGGAGCAAUGCCGCGUGAGUGAAGAAGGCCUUCGGGUUGUAAAACUCUGUCCUUAUCGAAGAGAGGUGGGUAUGUGAAUAAUGUACUCAUAGGACGGUAGAUAAGGAGGAAGCCCCGGCUAACUACGUGCCAGCAGCCGCGGUAAUACGUAGGGGCGAGCGUGUCCGGAAUCACUGGGCGUAAAGGGCGCGUAGGCGGUUUAAUAAGUCAGUGGUGAAAACUGAGGGCUCAACCCUCAGCCUGCCACUGAUACUGUUAGACUUGAGUAUGGAAGAGGAGAAUGGAAUUCCUAGUGUAGCGGUGAAAUGCGUAGAUAUUAGGAGGAACACCAGUGGCGAAGGCGAUUCUCUGGGCCAAGACUGACGCUGAGGCGCGAAAGCGUGGGGAGCAAACAGGAUUAGAUACCC